CCCUUAGAUGUUCUGGGCCGCACGCGUGCUACACUGACGAAUGCAACGAGCUUAUAACCUUGGCCGAAAGGUCUGGGUAAUCUCCAAAUUUCGUCGUGAUGGGGAUAGAUUAUUGCAAUUAUUAAUCUUCAACGAGGAAUGCCUAGUAAGCGCAAGUCAUCAGCUUGCGUUGAUUACGUCCCUGCCCUUUGUACACACCGCCCGUCGCUCCUACCGAUUGAAUGGUCCGGUGAAGCGUUCGGACCGUGGCCUUUGGACGGUUCGCCGUCUGUUGGCUGCGGGAAGUUCGUUAAACCUUAUCAUUUAGAGGAAGGAGAAGUCGUANCA
rnacentral:rRNA from 1 species